rnacentral:sRNA from 1 species
CAUGAAGAAAUUGAUCUGGUCAGUUUAGAGGAGUUUUAUAAGGAGGCUCCACCAGAUAUCAGCAAGGCCGAAGUCACCAUGGGAGACCCUCACCAGCAGACACUGGCACGUCUGGACUGGGAGCUGGAGCAGCGGAAAAGGCUAGCAGAGAAGUACCGAGAGUGCCUAUCUAACAAGGAGAAGAUUCUCAAGGAGAUUGAGGUGAAGAAGGAGUACCUGAGUAGCCUCCAGCCCCGCCUCAACAGCAUCAUGCAGGCUUCCCUUCCGGUGCAGGAGUACCUGUUUAUGCCAUUCGACCAGGCUCACAAGCAGUAUGAGACAGCCAGACACCUGCCGCCUCCCCUCUAUGUCCUCUUUGUUCAGGCCACUGCGUAUGGGCAGGCCUGUGAUAAGACGUUAUCUGUGGCAAUCGAAGGCAGUGUGGAUGAAGCCAAGGCUCUGUUCAAACCUCCAGAGGACUCCCAAGAUGACGAGAGUGACUCAGAUGCCGAGGAGGAGCAGACUACGGUGAGAACCAUUUCCUCUUGUGGGGGCAUCAAGCAGCUGCAUG